rnacentral:rRNA from 1 species
UUGUCUCUCUUGAGUGGAUCCUGAGUACGACGGAGCACGUGAAAUUCCGUCGGAAUCUGGGAGGACCAUCUCCUAAGGCUAAAUACUCUCUAGUGACCGAUAGUGAACCAGUACCGUGAGGGAAAGGUGAAAAGCACCCCGGAAGGGGAGUGAAAUAGAACCUGAAACCGUGUGCUUACAAGUAGUCAGAGCCCGUUAAUGGGUGAUGGCGUGCCUUUUGUAGAAUGAACCGGCGAGUUACGAUUUGAUGCAAGGUUAAGCAGUAAAUGUGGAGCCGUAGCGAAAGCGAGUCUGAAUAGGGCGUUUAGUAUUUGGUCGUAGACCCGAAACCAGGUGAUCUACCCUUGGUCAGGUUGAAGUUCAGGUAACACUGAAUGGAGGACCGAACCGACUUACGUUGAAAAGUGAGCGGAUGAACUGAGGGUAGCGGAGAAAUUCCAAUCGAACCUGGAGAUAGCUGGUUCUCUCCGAAAUAGCUUUAGGGCUAGCCUCAAGUGAUGAUUAUUGGAGGUAGAGCACUGUUUGGACGAGGGGCCCCUCUCGGGUUACCGAAUUCAGACAAACUCCGAAUGCCAAUUAAUUUAACUUGGGAGUCAGAACAUGGGUGAUAAGGUCCGUGUUCGAAAGGGAAACAGCCCAGACCACCAGCUAAGGUCCCAAAAUAUAUGUUAAGUGGAAAAGGAUGUGGCGUUGCCCAGACAACUAGGAUGUUGGCUUAGAAGCAGCCAUCAUUUAAAGAGUGCGUAAUAGCUCACUAGUCGAGUGACACUGCGCCGAAAAUGUACCGGGGCUAAACAUAUUACCGAAGCUGUGGAUUGUCCUUUGGACAAUGGUAGGAGAGCGUUCUAAGGGCGUUGAAGCAUGAUCGUAAGGACAUGUGGAGCGCUUAGAAGUGAGAAUGCCGGUGUGAGUAGCGAAAGACGGGUGAGAAUCCCGUCCACCGAUUGACUAAGGUUUCCAGAGGAAGGCUCGUCCGCUCUGGGUUAGUCGGGUCCUAAGCUGAGGCCGACAGGCGUAGGCGAUGGAUAACAGGUUGAUAUUCCUGUACCACCUAUAAUCGUUUUAAUCGAUGGGG